UGGCUUUAACGGAAGGAGAAGAAGCCAAAGUUAAAAUAUUCAGUUCAUUGGGAAUUUCAGAAAGAGCCCAUCACUCUGCAUCUCUACUUCUCCAGGCAGAGCAAGAUAAAUGCGAUGUUGUGAAAAUAAAACCAUGGAGGGCUGCGAGCACUUGGCCACAGUGUAGAUGACAACAAUAAAAGUUUCUUCAGUAGAGAGCAAUAUAUGACCUUGGUCACAUACGACAUGGUGAGAGGACGACUGAACUUCAUAUGGUACAUUUCUGACCUUUCUUCAUUGAGAAGCAAGAAGUAUUUUCCACUGUGACACAGCAGUUUUCCAAGAGAACUUUGACAUUUUUGAAGUCAAGCUGGUAAGACAGAUAAAGCACACUCAAUGAUAUAUUAUUCCAUUUUGUCCAUUGCAUAUUCAGUAAAUUUGAAGAAGAAAGUCAGUCUCCAAUUCCUAAAAAUAAUAUUCCUCGAGAUUUCAUUUAAUUCAAAUAAUAUACAUUAACAAUGCAUACUUUGCUUUUCUUGUGGGGUGAUGCUCCAUAACUUGUUCAUUCUUUGCUCUUUUAAUAUGUUGUAGACAGCUGCUAUGCAUACACUAGUUCCAGUGCCUUAAAAUUACUUCAAAGGAAAUGCUGUAGCCUUUCAUUUCCCUUUAAUGGUAAUAUUAACAACACACGCUUAAUAAUUUAUUUUUUUAUUUUAGUCUGUUGGUGGAUGAGAAG